rnacentral:rRNA from 1 species
UACAGAGGGGGCAAGCGUUAUUCGGAAUUAUUGGGCGUAAAGGGCGCGUAGGCGGCUUUUCAAGUGACGGGUGAAAUCCCUCGGCUUAACCGAGGAACUGCCUGUCAGACUGGAAGGCUUGAGACCGGGAGAGGUGAGUGGAAUUCCCAGUGUAGCGGUGAAAUGCGUAGAUAUUGGGAGGAACACCUGAGGUGAAGACGGGUUGCUGGGCUGACACUGACGCUGAGGCGCGAAAGCCAGGGGAGCAAACGGG